GCGCCCGUGGCGUAACUGGAUAGCGCGACGGCCUCCGGAGCCGUAGGUUACAGGUUCAAAUCCUGUCGGGCGUA
rnacentral:tRNA from 1 species